AAAACAUGUCUUUUUGAUAAAAAUUUAAAGUCAGGUCUGCUCACUGAAUUAUUUUAAAGAGCCGCAGUAUAUUGACUGUGCAAAGGUAGCAUAAUCAAUAGUUUCUUAAUUGGGAACUAGAAUGAAAGAUUAGACGAAAAAUUAAUUUUCUUUGUUUUAAUAAAUUUAAUUUUAAAUUUAAGUGAAAAUGCUUAAAUACAAUUAAAAGACGAGAAGACCCUAUAGAUUUUUAUUAUUGAAAUAAAUUUUUAAAUUUAAUUUAAUAAGAUAAUUUAAUUGGGGCGAUUUUAUAAUAUAAAUAACUUAAUUUUUUUAAACCAUAAAUAAUUGAAUAUUUGAUCUAAAAUUUUUAAAGAAAAGAUUAAAUUACCUUAGGGAUAACAGCGUAAUUUUAUUUAAGAGUUCAUAUCUAUAAUAAAGUUUGCGACCUCGAUGUUGAAUUAAGAUAAUAUAUUGGAGUAGAAAUUAAUAUAAUUAGUCUGUUCGACUAUUAAAUUCUUACGUGAUCUG
rnacentral:rRNA from 2 species